rnacentral:rRNA from 1 species
UACGGAGGAUGCGAGCGUUAUCCGGAUUUAUUGGGCGUAAAGCGAGCGCAGGCGGUUGCUUAGGUCUGAUGUGAAAGCCUUCGGCUUAACCGGAGUAGUGCAUUGGAAACUGGGAGACUUGAGUGCAGAAGAGGAGAGUGGAACUCCAUGUGUAGCGGUGAAAUGCGUAGAUAUAUGGAAGAACACCAGUGGCGAAGGCGGCCGCCUGGCCUGUUACUGACGCUGAGGCACGAAAGCGUGGGGAGCAAAUAGG